AUGCUGGAGCCGUGGCUGGAGAGCAAGGGCCUGGCGGGCGCCAACCAGGUGCUCGCCUACUUCGCGGUGUCCAGGCUCGGCGAGCCCCCCGUCGACGGCAUCACCGCCGCCAACCCCGAGGGCCUCACCGCCGCCUUCGGCGCCUGGGCCCCCGCUGUCGCCGCCCGCCUCCAGAACGGCGGGCUCACCUGCAAGGUGCUUGAGAAGGGAGCCUUUGAGAAGCAAAUGCUAGAGAAGCUGAUUUGGAUUUCAGCUUUCAUGCUCGUUGGAGCUCGUCAUCCUGGGGCUACAGUUGGUGCGGUUGAAAAAGAAUACUGUUCUGAGGUAUCCAGCCUCAUAGUUGAAUUAGCAUCUGUCGCGGCUGUAGAGCGGGGGCUUUCUUUCGACGAGGGCAUGGAAGAGAGGCUCUGCGCCUACUCCAGAGCGGUGGCACACUAUCCAACCGCCGUGAAAGAGUUCAAGUGGAGGAAUGGUUGGUUCUACUCGCUCACCGAAAAGGCCCUCACGGAAGGAAAGCCAGAUCCAUGCCCACUCCACACAGCUUGGCUCAAGGAGAUUAAAGUCAUAUAG
rnacentral:rRNA from 1 species